CUCAUUUUCUUUUCUCUCUUCUUUUUCCUCUUAAGAGUUAUCAAAGGUGAGAACUUGAUUUGUCUUCUCAAGAGGUGGGUGAAUACUCCAAAAGCAAAAGAAAGGAAAUUUGGUGCUUGGAUGAACUUGGGGUCAUUUUUUAGUACUAAGAGUUUUGCAGCAAAGUGGAGAACCGACCACUAUAAUUUAACCAAAGAUACUAACAAUUCCGUUGCCCAUACAACAUUCGAAGAGUCGAGUUCAAUCCCAUUGAAGAAGUAAUUCACAGAGCGGCAAGACUUGCCUUAAUUUGUUUGGUCAAAAAUCAGAUUGAUUAGGGUUUCCUUUAAAGAUUUUCCAAUACCUGCAUGGAGACAAUAGUAAUGGGGGGAGCAGCAAUUGACUAGUGUAGCUACACUAGAUAUGUUAUGGCUAUUAAAUUAUUACGC